GACGAACGCUGGCGGCGUGCCUAAUACAUGCAAGUCGAACGCACUCUCGUUUAGAUUGAAGGAGCUUGCUCCUGAUUGAUAAACAUUUGAGUGAGUGGCGGACGGGUGAGUAACACGUGGGUAACCUGCCCUAAAGUGGGGGAUAACAUUUGGAAACAGAUGCUAAUACCGCAUAAAACCUAACACCGCAUGGUGUAGGGUUGAAAGAUGGUUUCGGCUAUCACUUUAGGAUGGACCCGCGGUGCAUUAGUUAGUUGGUGAGGUAAAAGGCUCACCAAGACCGUGAUGCAUAGCCGACCUGAGAGGGUAAUCGGCCACACUGGGACUGAGACACGGCCCAGACUCCUACGGGAGGCAGCAGUAGGGAAUCUUCCACAAUGGACGAAAGUCUGAUGGAGCAACGCCGCGUGAGUGAAGAAGGUUUCGGAUCGUAAAACUCUGUUGUUGGAGAAGAAUGUAUCUGAUAGUAACUGAUCAGGUAGUGACGGUAUCCAACCAGAAA
rnacentral:rRNA from 1 species